rnacentral:lncRNA from 1 species
CCUUGCUAUCUGGUUGAGCUAAUUGAACGCACAUUAUUCAAGGAAAUGUAGAAAGGAAGAGAAUGAACCUCAAUAUCAUAUUAUACUUUUCUGUAGCAAUUACUUGGGAUCACCAAAAGUGCUUCAUGUAAAAGCUUGCCAUUUACUUUAAAUAUGUAUUUCUAGACCAAUGCAUAAUCUGGAAACAUGAAGAGAUGCAGUCAGUGAAGAGAUGAGGUAUCCAAACCCAUGGGAACUAACUAAUGUACCUGGGCGGUAGCUUUGCAAGUGAAAAUCUCAUCAAACCAAAAAUGAGAGCAAAACAUCAGAAGUUG